UACGAAGGGGGCUAGCGUUGCUCGGAAUCACUGGGCGUAAAGCGCACGUAGGCGGACUCUUAAGUCGGUGGUGAAAUCCUGGAGCUCAACUCCAGAACUGCCUUCGAUACUGAGAGUCUCGAGUCCGAGAGAGGUGAGUGGAACUGCGAGUGUAGAGGUGAAAAUUCGUAGAUAUUCGCAAGAACACCAGUGGCGAAGGCGGCUCACUGGCUCGGUACUGACGCUGAGGUGCGAAAGCGUGGGGAGCAACAGG
rnacentral:rRNA from 1 species